ACGUAGGUCCCGAGCGUUGUCCGGAUUUAUUGGGCGUAAAGCGAGCGCAGGCGGUUUGAUAAGUCUGAAGUAAAAGGCUGUGGCUUAACCAUAGUAUGCUUUGGAAACUGUCAAACUUGAGUGCAGAAGGGGAGAGUGGAAUUCCAUGUGUAGCGGUGAAAUGCGUAGAUAUAUGGAGGAACACCGGUGGCGAAAGCGGCUCUCUGGUCUGUAACUGACGCUGAGGCUCGAAAGCGUGGGGAGCAAACAGGAUUAGAUACCCUGGUAGUCCACGCCGUAAACGAUGAGUGCUAGGUGUUGGGUCCUUUCCGGGACUCAGUGCCGCAGCUAACGCAUUAAGCACUCCGCCUGGGGAGUACGACCGCAAGGUUG
rnacentral:rRNA from 1 species